GACGUAGGGGGCGAGCGUUGUCCGGAUUUAUUGGGCGUAAAGGGCUCGUAGGCGGCCAACUAAGUCGGACGUGAAAUCCCCAGGCUCAACCUGGGAACUGCGUCCGAUACUGGAUGGCUUGAAUUCGGGAGAGGGAUGCAGAAUUCCAGGUGUAGCGGUGAAAUGCGUAGAUAUCUGGAGGAAUACCGGUGGCGAAGGCGGCAUCCUGGACCGACAUUGACGCUGAGGAGCGAAAGCUAGGGGAGCAAACGGG
rnacentral:rRNA from 1 species